ACCAUUUUCCCCUCCCUGCUCUUUCACUGUCUCUGUUAGAGCUAGUCCAGCAGCUCCCCGAAACCCUCGCCGAUCGGAAAAAUAGGGGAGAAACCAGAAAAAACACCUUCUAGCAGCUCCCCAAUCGUCCCCCCAAAAUUUCCGCAUCCCCGAUCCAGGCCGACUUCUCCCCUACAGAUCGGGGAGGCCGAGCCCUCCCCUCUCCACGCCAAGGAACAACCGCUCGCUCCCUCCCGCCACCACGCGCAUCGCCAGGAUGAUACAAACUGUCAUGAUUUCUCCGAGUGUAUCCAAAUCCCAAUACCUUGCUGGUCCACGUACAAUGGCAAAACGAGCUUGCAGAACUCCAAAGGCUCAGUUCAACAUCCUUCCGACAAGCUUCUUGGCAUCGGGCAAAAUGUUUGUUUUUUUCAAUUGUUGGAUUUGGAAUUGUCUUCACGAAUGUGGCCCAUCGCGGAUAUAUGACAUCUGCAAGGUAACACCCAUGUUGUAGUUGCGACCAUUGAUGGUGUAAUUCACUUCUGGAGCAUGCGCUUCAGCUAGAUUCGCAAACACAGGUGAACGGUGAAGAACAUUUAUAUCA